rnacentral:rRNA from 1 species
AUUGAACGCUGGCGGCAGGCCUAACACAUGCAAGUCGAACGGUAGCACAGAGAGCUUGCUCUCGGGUGACGAGUGGCGGACGGGUGAGUAACGUCUGGGAAACUGCCCGAUGGAGGGGGAUAACUACUGGAAACGGUAGCUAAUACCGCAUAACGUCGCAAGACCAAAGUGGGGGACCUUCGGGCCUCACACCAUCGGAUGUGCCCAGAUGGGAUUAGCUAGUAGGUGGGGUAAUGGCUCACCUAGGCGACGAUCCCUAGCUGGUCUGAGAGGAUGACCAGCCACACUGGGACUGAGACACGGUCCAGACUCCUACGGGAGGCAGCAGUGGGGAAUAUUGCACAAUGGGCGCAAGCCUGAUGCAGCCAUGCCGCGUGUAUGAAGAAGGCCUUCGGGUUGUAAAGUACUUUCAGCGGGGAGGAAGGCGGUGGAGUUAAUAACUUCUCCGAUUGACGUUACGCGCAGAAGAAGCACCGGCUAACUCCGUGCCAGCCGCCGCCGUAA